CGACGAGGCUCUGCUUUGAGAAGUUCAGCUAGCAAUGAUUCUACAACAUCCUCAAGUCCAACAAAAAUGUAAUCCUGGUCAUCCACAUAUGAGGUAGUUCUCCUCAAUGUUGUAACCUGAUUACUUGGCCCUUCUCCUGCAUUAUUAUUGAUAUUUGUAAUACCCUAAGUAUCUCGUUUGCGAGAGAAAUC